GACGAACGCUGGCGGCGUGCUUAACACAUGCAAGUCGAACGGAAAGGCCCUGCUUUUUUGGUGUGCUCGAGUGGCGAACGGGUGAGUAACACGGGAGUAACCUGCCCUUGACUUUGUGAUAACUUCAGGAAACUGGGGCUAAUAACGGAUAGGAGCUCCUGCUGCAUAGUGGAGGUUGGAAAGUUUCGGCGGUUGGGGAUGGACUCGCGGCUUAUCGACUUGUUGGUGGGGUAGUGGCUUACCAAGGCUUUGACGGGUAGCCGGCCUGAGAGGGUGACCGGCCACAUUGGGACUGAGAUACGGCCCAGACUCCUACGGGAGGCAGCAGUGGGGAAUAGGGCACAAGGGGCGGAAGCCUGAUGCAGCAACGCCGCGUGCGGGAUGACGGCCUUCGGGUUGUAAACCGCUUUCGCCUGUGACGAAGCGUGAGUGACGGUAAUGGGUAAAGAAGCACCGGCUAACUACGUG
rnacentral:rRNA from 1 species